UGGCUUAUGAUUAAAUUUGUUUGUUAGCUGGGCACUGAGUGUAUUCUAUCACCAGUGAGGUAAUCCUCACAGCACAUUCCACGUUCCUGGAAAACUACUGGCCUUCUGGGCUGCCAUGUGUUUAUCCAGCAUAGGUUGUGUGGCACAGCACAGUUAUGAACACCACAAAAUUGAGCUGGAAAUCUCUAUGAGAUGAGAAGAAGCAUGACUCACUUCUCCCUGCCCUAGGGAUUACUUCUAGCUUUCAUUUUGAGGAACAUAUUCUCUUUGCUGCCCGAGUUCUUCUUUUUCAUAUACUGGAAACCAGUACUUAGGGAAGGGAUUAACUUUGUGCUUUGGAAUGCCUGUCAAGGAGAGAACUAACAUACAACACCAAAGACUGAGACACUAGUCUGAGAUCAGUGGGCAAGCCAGAUGAGCUCUUCUUUGGCUGAGUAACCCCAUUUUUGAAGCUGAUACUGUUGCAAUGAAAGAUGACACCUGGCAGACUCCGAAGCAGCCGGAGAAUAGACAGACUGCAAAUGUGAAAUCAGUUCCAGGAUCAAGCCCCAGCACUCCAUCGAGCAUUCACUAGAUCAGUUCACAGUGGGCAUGUGCUUUCCAGCUCCAAUUCUGCAAACCAGUGUCUGUUCACACACUCGUAAUCCAGUUACAUUUCCAAUGGCCUCAACCCUUGACCAAAUUGUCUGAGACGUGUUCCCGGCUAGCAGCCGACCCACUGCAGCUGAGCUGCUCAGAACCAUCUACCCAGCUCAGAGAAACUGGCUGCUGCUGCGGGAAAGCCGCAAAGCCGUAUACUCUCUAAGAUAAGCGCAACCGCUUUUGUGACCUCUCUCCACCGCUGACCGACUGCUGCCAAACGCCUCGGAAUAACUGAACGCCUGUGCUACCUGCUGGUCAAAUAUAUUUACUGCAUCUGGAGUAGAAAUCAGGUAAAAUUAUGGCGGAAUAUUUAUCAUUUGCUAAAAUUGGUAAUGUUUUUGCUUAUUACGUGAAUUCACUGUUUGAGGAGGAUGCUAAUUUGCCAAUUACUGGCCUAUAUGCUGUAAUGGCAGUUAGCUUGCUGGUACAAAUAGUAUUACUAGCCAGAGGACUCAGGAACAGGGACAGAAAUAACCUCACCACCUGCUUGCAGGAAAUAACAGCUUUACGCAAUGAGGUUUUGGAAAACAGAUUAGGUCAGACCACAAUUGUGCAGCAAGUGGAACAGAAAUUGGAUGAUAAGCUUGGCUCUGUGUCCAAUACACUAAAGACAGAGCUGUCUGAUGAGAUGCAGCUUAUUUAUGAUAAGAUAAACACAGAGAGAUCCUCCAUGUCUGAGGCCUUAGAGGCUAGGCUGUCAGAAGACCAUGACCAGCUAAAGAAUAUCUGUAGCCAGCUAGAAACUCAGAUAGGC
rnacentral:lncRNA from 1 species